CCCGGAUCCUCCCUUGGACCUCGCCCCGCCCGCCCCGGCAGGUGAGAGACCCCCGGAUCCCCUCUGGACCUCGCCCCGCCUCCUCCGCCAGGUGUCUUGUCACAGUACUGUGAGCAGGUUUCUAAUGCCAACCAGCGGCUUUGCUCGGUAUGUACACACACUGUGCAGAGACACGGACGGCACCCCCAGGACACUCCAA